GAAUUCUCAGCUGAGAGGUGGGGCUCUCUUCGAAUUCGUAGGCAGGGUGGAAUGAUUGGUUAGUGCUGGGAAGCUUGUCAGUUACCCCAGCCCAGAAACUACAGCCAAACAGGCAGCAUGCGGGGUUGUAAAAACUGCAACAGGUUCUUCAGCCACAGAAGAAAAGAAUGAACCAAGCAAGCAUUGCCUUCUUCCUAUAAGAGGAGCCAUGGACAAACCUGAUUGGUCGGUUGUUUCUACCUGUAGAACCAGGUAGGAGGGAUAGCCCAAUUUGUAGAAUGUCCUCCUUUGGCUACCCAAAAUGAAAAUCUCACAAUCAAUAAUAAUAUUCCUAUUUCUUUCGGGGUACUUAAAUAACCUUUUGAAUUCUAGAAUUAUUUGCUGGCAUAUGGUUAAAAAACAAUCUCCUUUUGUCCACAUUGUUGUCACCUCUAUACCAACAACAAAGCACAAGACAAUAGCACAAGGCAGUCAGCACUUAAACUAUGUAAUAGUCUUCCUCUGACAUUUGAUAAGGCCACAGUGCUUUAGCUAUAAAAGUAACUAUAAAGUUACAGUUUUACGGCAAAAGGAGUUGCCUGGUUUUAUUACAACCAGAAGUAAUUUCAUUGUACUAUUCUUACCGGGGAAAGGAAUGACUUAGGAAUAGCUAGAUAUGUUGAAGCUCUGCUAAUUCCAGAGAACAUUGUAUUGUCUCUCUUAACUUCCAUUGUUGUUUUAGAGUUCACAGACAAAUGAAUGCUAUCCUGUGUUAGUAGAAGGAUUUUUUUCCCUUCCUUCAUGUUGGAAGCGUUCAGUGUGGCUCAAUGAACACUGCUUGCAGCUGGCUAUGCUGUGGUUUCUGUUUCAACAUCAGUGCCUGCCUGACCAUAACUCUGGCUCCCACCACUUCUUCAAGGAAGCAUCCAUCAUAUGUCGAAAGCGGUGGUCAGGAACGGAAUGAGAGUAAGAAUAAGAACAAAAAGAACAAGACAGACCAGAAAUGCUGGAGAAUGCCCUCAAAGCUUCUGUUUACAUUAGAGAUGGUGAAAGCAUUUCUUCCCAAUACAUUUCCCUCCAGUUGAACUUUGUCUUCCAUUCUCACAGCCAUAGCUACUUAAAAUGAAUCAGAUCUGUGAAGGUUCAAUCUCACUGGUAUUCAGAUGCUUGCUGCAAAUACAACCUGCGCAGAAUGCAGGCAUCAUAAGGGAAUUCUCUCCAUAUAAAGCAGCAGGCAGAUGAAAUCUCCCCAUGCAUACAAUAGCUGCUAACUCCUGUUUGUUGUCUGACGUAAAUAAAAACACCUCUGGGUGGUUUUCA
rnacentral:lncRNA from 1 species